GCCUAACACAUGCAAGUCGAGCGGAAACGACACUAACAAUCCUUCGGGUGCGUUAAUGGGCGUCGAGCGGCGGACGGGUGAGUAAUGCCUAGGAAAUUGCCUUGAUGUGGGGGAUAACCAUUGGAAACGAUGGCUAAUACCGCAUAAUGCCUACGGGCCAAAGAGGGGGAUCUUCGGACCUCUCGCGUCAAGAUAUGCCUAGGUGGGAUUAGCUAGUUGGUGAGGUAAUGGCUCACCAAGGCGACGAUCCCUAGCUGGUCUGAGAGGAUGAUCAGCCACACUGGAACUGAGACACGGUCCAGACUCCUACGGGAGGCAGCAGUGGGGAAUAUUGCACAAUGGGCGAAAGCCUGAUGCAGCCAUGCCGCGUGUAUGAAGAAGGCCUUCGGGUUGUAAAGUACUUUCAGUUGUGAGGAAGGGGGUAACGUUAAUAGCGUUAUCUCUUGACGUUAGCAACAGAAGAAGCACCGGCUAACUCCGUGCCAGCAGCCGCGGUAAUACGGAGGGUGCGAGCGUUAAUCGGAAUUACUGGGCGUAAAGCGCAUGC
rnacentral:rRNA from 1 species